rnacentral:rRNA from 1 species
AGGGCCGCGGUAAUUUGACCGUGCGAAGGUAGCAUAAUCAUUUGUCUCUUAAUUGGGGGCUAGAAUGAAUGGUUGGAUGAGGGGUUAAGUGUCUCUUUUUUAUAAUUAAAAUUUUACUUUUAAGUGAAAAGGCUUGAAUUUCGUUAAGUGAAGAUAAGACCCUAUAAAACUUAUAUAAAAGUUUACCAUGUUAUGUCUAAUACUGUAUAAGAAAGAAUGGUUGAUAUUAUAUUUUGUUGGGGCGACAAUAAUAGAAUUCAGUAUAUCUGUUGUUUUUAAUUUGUUAAUUAUGGUUAAAGAAUGAGCCUUUUAUAGGGAGCAAGAGAUCAAGUUACUUUAGGGAUAACAGCGUAAUUUUCUUUGAGAGACCUAAUCGACAAGAAUAGUUGCGACCUCGAUGUUGAAUUAAAAUUUUCUAUAAAGUGCAGAAGCUUAAUUAGUGAGUCUGUUCGACUCUUAAAAUUUU